GGGGAAUAUUGGGCAAUGGGCGAAAGCCUGACCCAGCAACGCCGCGUGAAGGAAGAAGGCUUUCGGGUUGUAAACUUCUUUUGUCAGGGACGAAAAAAAUGACGGUACCUGACGAAUAAGCCACGGCUAACUACGUGCCAGCAGCCGCGGUAAUACGUAGGUGGCAAGCGUUAUCCGGAUUUACUGGGUGUAAAGGGCGUGUAGGCGGGAAAGCAAGUCAGAUGUGAAAACUAUGGGCUCAACCCAUAGCCUGCAUUUGAAACUGUUUUUCUUGAGUGUCGGAGAGGUAAUCGGAAUUCCGUGUGUAGCGGUGAAAUGCGUAGAUAUACGGAGGAACACCAGUGGCGAAGGCGGAUUACUGGACGAUAACUGACGCUGAGGCGCGAAAGCGUGGGGAGCAAACA
rnacentral:rRNA from 1 species